GACGAACGCUGGCGGCGUGCUUAACACAUGCAAGUCGAACGGAAAGGCCCUGCUUUUGUGGGGUGCUCGAGUGGCGAACGGGUGAGUAACACGUGAGUAACCUGCCCUUGACUUUGGGAUAACUUCAGGAAACUGGGGCUAAUACCGGAUAGGAGCUCCUGCUGCAUGGUGGGGGUUGGAAAGUUUCGGCGGUUGGGGAUGGACUCGCGGCUUAUCAGCUUGUUGGUGGGGUAGUGGCUUACCAAGGCUUUGACGGGUAGCCGGCCUGAGAGGGUGACCGGCCACAUUGGGACUGAGAUACGGCCCAGACUCCUACGGGGGGCAGCAGUGGGGAAUACUGCACAAUGGGCGGAAGCCUGAUGCAGCAACGCCGCGUGCGGGAUGACGGCCUUCGGGUUGUAAACCGCUUUCGCCUGUGACGAAGCGUGAGUGACGGUAAUGGGUAAAGAAGCACCGGCUAACUACGUG
rnacentral:rRNA from 1 species